GACGAACGCUGGCGGCGUGCCUAAUACAUGCAAGUAGAACGCUGAAGGAGGAGCUUGCUUCUCCGGAUGAGUUGCGAACGGGUGAGUAACGCGUAGGUAACCUGCCUGGUAGCGGGGGAUAACUAUUGGAAACGAUAGCUAAUACCGCAUAAUAGUAGAUGUUGCAUGACAUUUACUUAAAAGGUGCAAUUGCAUCACUACCAGAUGGACCUGCGUUGUAUUAGCUAGUUGGUGGGGUAACGGCUCACCAAGGCGACGAUACAUAGCCGACCUGAGAGGGUGAUCGGCCACACUGGGACUGAGACACGGCCCAGACUCCUACGGGAGGCGGCAGUAGGGAAUCUUCGGCAAUGGACGGAAGUCUGACCGAGCAACGCCGCGUGAGUGAAGAAGGUUUUCGGAUCGUAAAGCUCUGUUGUAAGAGAAGAACGAGUGUGGGAGUGGAAAGUUCACACUGUGACGGUAUCUUACCAGAAAGGGACGGCUAACUACGUGCCAGCAGCCGCGGUAAUACGUAGGUCCCGAGCGUUGUCCGGAUUUAUUGGGCGUAAAGCGAGCGCAGGCGGUUAGAUAAGUCUGAAGUUAAAGGCUGUGGCUUAACCAUAGUACGCUUUGGAAACUGUUUAACUUGAGUGCAAGAGGGGAGAGUGGAAUUCCAUGUGUAGCGGUGAAAUGCGUAGAUAUAUGGAGGAACACCGGUGGCGAAAGCGGCUCUCUGGCUUGUAACUGACGCUGAGGCUCGAAAGCGUGGGGAGCAAACAGG
rnacentral:rRNA from 1 species